UCAGAUUGAACGCUGGCGGCAGGCCUAACACAUGCAAGUCGAGCGGUAACAGGGAAAGCUUGCUUUCUGCUGACGAGCGGCGGACGGGUGCGUAACACGUAGGAAUCUGCCUGGUAGUGGGGGAUAGCCCGAAGAAAUCCGGAUUAAUACCGCAUACGCCCUAAGGGGGAAAGGAGGGGACCCAUUUCUUUUAUUAGAAGUGAGCCUUUCGCUAUCAGAUGAGCCUGCGUCGGAUUAGCUUGUUGGUGGGGUAAAGGCCUACCAAGGCGACGAUCCGUAGCUGGUCUGAGAGGAUGAUCAGCCACA
rnacentral:rRNA from 1 species